AUGGAGGCCACUGCCACACUCACGCUCUCUUCGUCUCCCACCGGCGCCCGCCGCUCGCCAGCCAGGCCCACCGGCGCCUCCCUUCACCUCCGCCGCGUGCCCACUCUCUCAUUCCACCUCCGCGGGGCCCAAGGUCCCGCUGCCUUCCGCGCCCUCUCUUCCCCGUUCCCGGGAUGCAGGAGGAGGAGGCGGGGAAGCGGGAUGGUUGUGAGGGCGGAGAUGUUCGGGCAGCUCACCACCGGGCUGGAGUCCGCGUGGAACAAGCUGCGAGGCGUCGAUCGACUGACAAAGGAGAAUAUCGCUGAACCAAUGCGGGAUAUUAGAAGAGCACUUUUGGAGGCAGAUGUAAGUGUGCCAGUAGCAAGAAGUUUUAUCGAGUCCGUUACUGAAAAGGCUGUAGGCACUGAUGUGAUCCGGGGUGUCCAACCUGAGCAGCAGUUAGUGAAGGUUGUGAAUGAUGAACUUGUACAACUGAUGGGUGGAGAGGUGUCAGAUUUAGUAUUUGCAAAAACUGGCCCAACGGUUAUCCUAUUGGCAGGUCUGCAAGGUGUUGGGAAAACUACCGUCUGUGCUAAGCUUGCCUUCUAUCUGAAAAAGAUGGGGAAGAGUUGUAUGCUGGUUGCUGCAGAUGUUUACCGGCCUGCUGCUAUUGACCAACUCACUAUUCUGGGUAAAAAGGUUGGUGUACCAGUUUACUCAGAAGGAACGGAAGCAAAACCUUCAGAGAUUGCCAAGAACGGUUUGAAAGAAGCAAAGAGCAAGAAGACCGAUGUAGUUAUAGUGGAUACUGCUGGAAGAUUGCAGGUAGAUAAAGCUAUGAUGAAUGAGUUGAAAGAAGUAAAGAAAGCAGUGAAGCCUACAGAAAUUCUUCUUGUGGUUGAUGCUAUGACUGGCCAAGAAGCUGCAGCAUUGGUCGGCGCCUUCAAUGUUGAAAUUGGUAUAACUGGUGCUAUACUGACAAAACUGGAUGGUGACUCCAGAGGUGGGGCAGCACUAAGUAUCAAAGAGGUGUCUGGAAAGCCCAUCAAGUUCAUAGGCCGAGGAGAACGUGUUGAGGAUCUUGAGCCUUUCUAUCCAGAUCGUAUGGCGCAACGUAUCUUGGGAAUGGGAGAUGUACUUUCAUUUGUUGAGCAAGCACAGCAAGUGAUGAAUCAAGAAGAUGCUGAGGAAUUACAGAAGAAGAUCAUGAGUGCAAAGUUUAACUUCAAUGAUUUCUUGAAGCAAACAAAAGCUAUUGCACAAAUGGGUUCGUUCAGUCGUAUAAUUGGGAUGAUUCCAGGCAUGAACAAGGUUACUCCAGCACAAAUCCGUGAAGCUGAGAAAAACGUGAAGUUUAUGGAGUCAAUGAUCAAUGUGAUGACUGCUGAUGAAAGGGAAAGACCAGAGUUACUUGCUGAGUCACGCGAGAGGAGGAGAAGAGUGGCCAAGGACGCUGGAAAGACAGAACAGCAGGUGAGCCAACUAGUAUCGCAGCUUUUCCAAAUGCGCACUCGAAUGCAGAAGAUGAUGGCUGGCAUGCAAGGAAAAGAUACACCCGACAUGGAAAAUCUCGCGGAGUCCAUCAAAGCCGAAGAACAGGCUGCCGUGGCUACUGGUAAGCGCAGGAGGAAGUACGGCAACCUGAGGCAGCGGGACCUGGACUCGAUGCGCGGUUACCGCCGGUGA
rnacentral:rRNA from 1 species